UUAAUUCACUUGAGUAAGGGUCCUCGAGCCUAUUCCAGGUAAACAUGCACACAAAUCGUUUACAAACAAAGACUCUCCGUUUUUAGGUGGGAGUGCAAUUUUGCUGCGGUGUGGGGGCAGAUGGGUGGUCAUUCUCAGCUGGAGGAGCAAAUGAGAAUUCCCACCAUGACGAAAGCGAGCUUCAUCUCAACUGAGAGAAAUAUUGGAGAGAUUUGGAAGCAAAUUUUAAUCGAGUCAAUGGCCAAAGCAGGACGGGAGGAGAAAAGAAUAGCAGAGGAAAUGGGGAGCUAUAAUGAAGGCGGUCACACAAGCAUGCAAACUCAGGUGUUGCCACCGGCUACAUAGGUGUGCGAAAUAAGUAUUGCCAUGCCUGUGCACGAAACAUCUUGUUUCCGCAACUGGAACAAGUCAUCUUCUGAAAUGGAGACAGACAUUAUCCUGCGGUACAUAUACAUACAUAAAUGUUCCAGGGUGGGGACAUGCCAUCAAGAAGCUGGAAUGCGGUACAAGGGAACUGGUGGACUUACGCUGAAAACAAGAAAGCGACUGGUUUCUGGUUUCUGGUUUCUGCUGCUCGUACGGAGAGCGACCCGAAGAAGGCCCUGAUAUCACUCAAACGUGACUUGUUUUGGCCCUGACUUUUGUAAGACAGCGCUCUCAUCCGCAACAAUAUCUCCCUCGCUCACUCAGUCCACAUCUCAACCGUUAACUUCCAGCGUAGACAAUGAUGAGCGUAGACAAUGAUGACAUGCUUGAUGGUGAGUUCAGACCUACAGAAUAAAAACAUAACAUUAAUUGAGGCAAGUGUAAAUAUGUAUUGAUAUUAAUCACAGGUCGACAAGGUGGACACACACCAACAAACGUGGACCCGCGACUUUACUAUGACAUUCAGGUACAACUUGUGAGCAACUGGCAGAAUGUGCAUAUUCGUGCUAAAUUUGAUGGUGGGAAGGUCAUCUUGGGAACACAGAUGCAUGGGAGCAGGGCUUAGGCAGAACCUUGGAAGAAAAUGGGGACCACAGACCUGGGAACAGAUCGAUGCCAAAUAAAGUAUUCUCUGAUGCAAAGAAAAAGCAAGUACACUAAAAUAGAUAACUCUUACACUAGGCAUGACGAAGGAGUUUCUCCGGAUGAAAUAACUGAAGACAUUUCCUCGCAGAGACUUGAAAAGUUGAAAACAAGCUUUUACCAGGCACAAGCACAAACAAUUGAGAAGAAAACAAGACAACGGAAGUAUGAGAGGGAAGUAUGAGAGAAGGAAAAGAAUUACAGCAUCGAGAGUGGGAGGAAUAGCAAAGAGACGACGUCCACAUUUAGAGGCAACGAAGCUACACGUUAUGGCUUGCUUAAUAGAAGUUAAGACUUGUUCAUUUCAGUUUCAGAGCACAACAAUUGGCUGGCAGCGACUCCAGAUGGUUUAGUUAACGACCCAAGCGAAACAUCCCAUCCUCAGAAAUAUCCCAUCCUCAAGGACUAGUUGAGGUUAAAAAUCCUUGAGAUUAAAAAUCCUUUUUCUGCUAACAGAAGCAAGUCAAGUUUCUGUACAUGACUACUAUUAUCAAAUACAGUACUGUACUGACACACAACGGUGUGCAAAGACAUUCACAUCGAGCGUAUCAACAGAGACAAUAUCAACAGAGACAAUAGGUGGUUACAACUAUCAAAAUUAAGGAACUUUUAUCUUUCGUCAGAGUUAGCUUGCCCCAUCAGGGAUCAUCAUAAAAUCAUCAUAAUUCACCUAUCACUGAACAACCUACUUACCUAGUACUACAGUGCAGUAGCUGCUGCUAGCAUACAGUUUUGUGUGGCCAUACACGUGAUUAUAUGCCACAGGAAUGUACAAAUAAUGAUAUUUCAUACAAGGUUUGGAUGCGUGGGUGAAACACUAUACCGUAACCUACACCCUCCGGUGGAUCAUAGUAAGUUCUCUUCGACACUCUCGACCACAAAAUACAAGCUUGGAACUCCUUCUAGUUCUACGAUCCAUUGUGCACUAUUGAAGAUAAAUUGGAAACCACUCCCCUUUUCUCUGAGAAAGGGGUGUGGUUUCCAUGGCACAUGAUCUCAAUGUCCACGUGACUUUGGCAUGGCAUCAUGGCAUGCAGCUGGCCAUGGACUAGCGCUAGCUAGUUACUCUUAGGCUCUACGGCUACUUUAAUUCUAGUCAGCAUGGCUGGAGGUAGGCGCUACUCGGCUGAAGAUUUGGCGGCCAGGAUCACUUCAGACUUACCUCCAACUGACAGAAGGUAAAUUGUAGUUAUUGCUUCUAACUGUCACCCCACAUACGUAUAUAGACUAGAUGUAAAUACAUUGGGGUAUUAUCCUUUCUGUAGUUAUAGCGCCAGAAAAAUUAGCGCAUAAUUAUGACUAUGGGUGGCGCUGUUAUUUAGUAAUGUACAGGCAGUUUGUACAGGCAGUUACGGUCACUAACCAGAGCUUGUAUGAAGGUACUUAUCAUGGCGAUGCAGAUGACCAUUGAGCGGUUCAUCGCCGCUGAAUGAAUUGUUGGUGGUGGCUCCUUUCAGAAACUCUCGAUUGACCUCUAGUGAAUCCUCUCAGCAUCUCGUAUCACUCAUCCAGGAGCAGCAAGAAGCGCUUGCAAAAAUUCUUGAUAACCAGAAAAUAAUGGAGACAAAGCAGAAUGGGUUUGAAAAACAGUUAGUGGAGCCUCACCUGACAGCAGCAGCAGUAGCAGGAUAACCCGAGAUUUAAUGGUACGUUCCUGCAACCCAUCCAUUAUGUGAGAUGAACUCUUUUUUUUUAGUUGCUCUCAGUCCCUUGUACUUGAGGAUAGUGGUUUCAAUCCGUCUGAAGGGUAUGUCUGGUUUUUACUACUAAAGUUAUAUAUAUAAGCACAUUCUCUGGACAAGCGAGCUAUUUCUCUGCAAUGAAUUCUCGUACACGGGCACGUGACAUAUGGCACAAAAAUUAAUUUUGUCCAAAAUAUGCAAUCUUAGACUCCAAUGUCGGAAAGUGAGAACUUUAGUGUCCAAACAACUGCAUUAUUGCGUCAUGUCGCUAUGACGCCACAGACGCAUUUUUGCGGCAGCUGCAGUUGCACGUCUUCUUUUUGCAAGAUCUACAAAGGAGGAGGAGCUGCUGCUUGCACGAGCACUGCUAAGAAUGACUGUGGAUGAGGUGACAUAAUUAUUGUCCGAUGAUGAGGACGAAGAUGAACCUAUGAGGGAAGGGAGUGACUAUGAAUUUGCAGAUCUAGAGUCUGACGACGAGGAAUAUGAUCUUAUCAACUAGUGUCUAAAGAGUGAACUUGACCAAGAUUAAAACACAAGUGCUUUUCAAGAUCUCAUAAUACCCCAUACCCUAAUCACGACAACCUGCGUUGACAUUGAGAGAUGUUAGAGUGAGCCGGUAGAGCCGGGCUGAGACUGGUACAGGUAGUGUGUGCAAAAGAUCCCUCGAGAAGACAAUUGACUCUAACGCCAAAGCUGCUAUUUCAGCUGAUUGCAGCGAAUACCUGUAUAUUGUGGUUGAGAGUAUAUGAAGCUUUGUUUGCUCUGGUGGCAGUAUACUACUGCUUUGACAGGGCGGAUAUACUUAUGGAGCGGAUAUACUUAUGGACGACAGUCAACAUCUUCCUUCUAUUGCGAAGUCCAGUCUCUGGACAACUCGUGUGUAAUAGUGUGUACUCACUCACCAGAGGACUUUUGCUAAUGAGUUAUUCCCGUAUUGCAUUCCUGCAGCAUGACAGGAUGUCACGCCCACAUGAUAUUUGUGAUGACUCAGCAGAUAUUUUAUGCACUGUCAGCGCUAUUUUGUCUCGGCAUUUCUACUAGUCUAUCUAUCUUAGUAUCAGUGUUACAUUAGCGCAUAAGUUUAUAGCUCCUAUGACAAUGCUAUUCAUUUUCUUAUGUCUUCUUAUGUCACAGGAUAGCAUUAUUUAUAACUACUGUGGAACUGUGGAGUACUAUGAUCGUUUGUAGUCUUUUAGCUAGCACUCACAACUCCUCCGUGAAACUUGAUGAUAAAUUAUGACGCGAGGCCACACCUCCUCCAGGUAAAUGUGGGUGUUACAUCCUGUCAUGCUGCAGGAAUGCAGUAACUCAUUAGCCGUACCUCCUCUGGUCCCAGUUGCAAACCUACCUCAAGUACAUACGCGUCUUACAUUUGUAUACGUACAGAUUUUGCUGGGCAUGGAUUUUUCGAUUUUAUGCGCUAUAUAUAGUUGAGGCUGUAUAACUCACAGUAGCUAUAUAGACGUGUCUGCUAACGUUUUGAGGACUAUUAAAAAUCAUGGGGCCCUUGGUAUGAGGCAGAUAAUUAUGAAGGAAGGUAUGUGCUCAGUGGAGUGAAAAGUUAAGGCUACUCCUAGAGUGACUAGAACAUCGAUAUCUCGCUUCGAAGUGGAUGAAGUAUGUAGCUUCUUGCAAGAGAAAGGAUAAAAAGUUUGAAGACGAACUGAUCGAUGGAAAUGAUGGAAAUGCGCUUAGCACAGAUGAUGGAGACAUGCAGCUAUAUGCAUAGCUAUAAAGCGCCCAGUGUUUAAUAUAGUAACUCAAACAAUCAACUCGGGUAGCAGUUCCCUUUCCGAAAUUCUACACGACAAGAUAUUGGAUGUCAACUAGGACCAGGAUCAUUCAAACCUUGGGUGAUCAAGUUUGUGACAAACCUAACCCAUAUGUUGUGAAGAAGUAUCCAGACUGCAAUGGGGAAAUGGAAUAGUAAGUUGCAAUAAUCGGAUAUGCGGUCUGGUGUAACAUUGUUAUGACUUGGUACGGGGAUAGCAGGGAUAGAUCUAUGUGUGCGUGCGUGCGCAUCACUGCCGUAAGUGCCUGCUGUACGGUUGCAAUGGACGUACAAGUAAUACCGUAUAGCGGGAAAUUUUCGCGGGUGCAAAUUUUCGCUAUUUGGCUCCCAGAGCCCUUAGCAGAAAUUUUCGCGGUUUUAAUUUUCGUGUCAAUGCCAAUAAACCACACCCACCAAUAGGUUUUGCACCUGCGUAUACCGGUGCGUGGGAGUUUAUCCCAGUUUUAAUUUUCGCGUUGACUACUCUGCCCUCGAAAAAACGCGAAAAUUUGCACCCCACGAAAAUUUCCCGCUAUACGGUAUAGCUUCCACUUUUUCUUCACUUGUGGAUUUACUUCGUUUUCGAGUUAUGGCUUGUUUUUGUUGUUUUUGUAAGGCCUUUUGCAGUCUCUAGACUCGUGCAUGCAUAACUAGAUAGAUCUGCACUACACACUACAUCGCUUAGCUAUUCAUUUUUACUUGCCUCGCAGAUGUCUAGUAGCUUUACAUAGUCAGCGCAGGAAAACACAGCUGAGAAAGUGGUUCUAUAACAAGCGGAUGCCAUCGAAAAAUGGUCAUUUGCAUGCAUAUUUUUCUAGGGCCCCCUACGAAAAAAAGGAAGGCAAAUGCUACUCAUCCUGAUUGUGAGGACACAGAUAAGGACACAGAAUACAGAAUAAAUUAAUGGAAUCAUCGUAUUGCGGAAGAAGACGUUGAUAAAACAAACAUGUCCUGCACUUUCAGAGCAUAAUUAUUGGCAUGAAUUGCAGCUAUGCUUCGCUGCAUGCAAAAACCUUUAGUGAGAUGGCUGGGGGAGUGCACGAGCUUGCUAGCAAAAGGCAGAAAUCAGCAGUUUUGAAGGUGGUGGUGUUACAUAUAUAAUCGGCCUUUGUGUUUGGGUGCAGGUACUGAACAUUUAUAUACUGCAAUUUUUUUAGCAGCUACGAGUAACGAUUAAUAUUUGGACGUGUUACAGAGAUUCAGUAGCAUGUUAAUUUUACAAGUGGUGCAUGAACCUGUGCUGAAUUAGGGCAUUAAUGUUUACACCAUGGGAAGCAGCCCAUACUAGCAACUGCCAACCGGAAAACUUUGAAAGUAUGUAUCUCGGUGAGCAUAUGAUCUCGGUGAGCAUAUGCGUGUUUGCGGUGUUUGCGAUUAUAAUACCGGCCUUUUUCGCCAUAAUGCAAGCAUACGUUUAUAUACACAGCUGUAACCUUACGUACAUGUCCGAAGCUAUUUCAACUGAUCGCAGCAAAUACCCCUACUUGGCUCUGUCAAUCUGUCAAUCAGCAACACACAUUUGUGGUGAGAGGACAAUGGUUGCAUAUAGCAAAGAUGUAUACGAAGCUCUGGUGGCAGCUGCUUUGUAGGUCUGGGAACGAGGCUAGUGUGUAAUCAACCAUAGCUAUACUCUGACUCUGCCAUGCAGUAUAAUGUGGUUAAAUAUUGGAUGGUUGUUUUGUUGCCGACUUUCCAUAAUUGACAGUAUAAUUAUAGUGUAUCAAUAAGCCGUCUCUCUAUGGCUAAUGUAAUUAUAAUGCUGUGAAAGAAAUAAUGCUGUGAAAGUGCUGUGAAAGAAUUCAAAUUAAGUCUUUUGUGUCUUUUUCCGGCCGCACUACUGACUAUUUUCAAAAAAUUGUUGUGUUGGAGCUAUGCACACGCUGUAGGUACCAGCUCUUUCACGUGGUAUAUUCUUUCACGUGGUAUAUUUAACAGUACUGCUGAAAGAAAAGUGACCGUAAUCUUCUUAGUACGAGUGAGGAGAACGAUGAUUAUGGCCGAGGACAGUGACUGGGAUCAUAGCUAGAUAAGAAACUACCUCAACCUGAUGAAGAAGAUCGGACUAAGUUCCUGGAUGUGGUAAGUCUAGAGUAGCAUCUGUAGCUUCAGUAUAAACUGUAUUUAGGACUGUGUGUACGUCUGCCGACAGACAAGUUUCUGCUGAUACCAUGAGAACAUUGAGAAGUCACUUUGUGCCAUAUUGUAUAAUUGGUAAACAAUCGCUGGGAUAGUCAGUUGCUAGGUAAUAAUGAUGGUGUCAAGAUACCUCUGGUACCUCUGGGGUCUGCGCUACAAGUCAUUUCAAUGUAUUGUUCAAUUUAAAAAACUUUCUGCAUUUUCUUUUUUUAAUUAAAACGGGUAAAAGAUGGCAGAGUUGUAUGGUUAUAUUUAGACACCCUAAGGCAACUGCCUUACCAAGGGGAAUGGGUCAAGAAGCCCAACCCAACCCAUAUUUCACACCAGGUAAGUAAGCUGCGCCAAGAAGGCAUCGGGAUCUCCGGUACAGGAGACUUAUUUUCUGGCUUCUUCGAAGGCGGCCACGUGAAAGUGAGAACAGUGAGAGAACAGUGAGAGUGACUACGUACCUGAGCUGUUCACAUAUAAUAGUGACGAUGACAGUGACUGUAUACUGUUAUACCAUGCAUUAAUUUUACGUAGUUAGAUGAAUUCGUAGCUGGAUUGCUUGGCGGUCAUGUCUUGUUAUCAGAACAGUCUUAUAAUUUAUAAUAGAUUGCUUACUUGUAUGGAUCUGUUCUUCAUACAGCUGCCUGUCUGAUCGUGGCCUUUCACUUAGUAUUCGUCUAUAUGCUAGAUCCAACAGCAGUAUUGGUAUCACGAGUAUUGGUAUCACGCUGUGAAAUUGUCGCUAGAAUGGAUAUUGGCUAGAAUGUAAGUGACAUUGAUAUUGUGUCUAUCUCGGUUUAUGAAGACAAAUCUGAAGUAUACAGUAACUCUAGAUAAAUCUUUUCAUACUGAGCCUAUUAACUGAUCAUGACGUAACGUUGUAUUUAGUCCGUAGAAAACAGCUUCGACUUUUGAUAGUACAAGUUAUAGUACAAGUUAUAUUACAAGUUAGGUAGAUCUACAAGAUGAUCUGCUUCUGUCAAGCGGUAAGUAGUAGUUGCUUUGUUACAUGAUUAAUACUUAGUAUUAUAGGAUAUAGGACGUAGCUGUAAAGUGUGUAAGAUCGGUGUCACACCAGUACUACACCAGUACUGAAAUAGCACAGUGUGACCCUCACAUCUAGCACACCCAUUGCACGUCACACCAAAACUGGUGUGUGUGUGUAUUGGGACACACCAAAUUUGGUACAUUACACUAAUGUUUGUGUUGUUGGUCAACAAACGUAAUAUGAACAAACGUAAUAUGUACCCUGGCUCACCUCUCUGUUCACUGUGCAUACGUGGCUUUGUCCGUAUUGAUCUAAGCUUGAUCCAACUUAUUAGUAGCCAAGCUUUCCUCCUUUAAUUGCCUAGUAGUAACAGGCCUGAUGGGAUGGGUGAUCACAUCAUGGAGGGCCCAGGAAACUGCGUGGAAUUGUCGUAUAACAUUUAUAUUGAUGGUGCCUGAGAAACGCUAGUCUAUUGGCUAGAAUGUCUAUCUUAACUUACUACUUAUCUGUAGGUUGUUAUGGAGAGGACAAGUGGCACGGGAUACGUACAUCUAAAGAAACAAGAGUGGAUCUACGCCAGCUCUGUUGCUAUAAUAUACCUGGCUCCUCUUGAGUACUGGGCUGAUGAAAUAGUCCUGUACAAGUUGUCAUCUUUUAUUCGUUAAAAAUAAUUAACAAUAAUAGGGAAAUUCCCUGGGAAUUUCCCUCACGUAGACAGUAAAUUUCAUUGUAAAAAAUGAACGUUCGGUGAGUUUCUUCAAACCCAAAUUUUUACAGGUAGGUAGUUUAAGUUAGCACCUGUGAAAAAAAAAUUUUUUUGCCAUGUUUUUCAUUUCUACUAAAUUGGCGUCGAAUCUCGUGCUUUGUGUUGUGUCCGUAGUGAUUCACCGUUUCCCGAGCCACGUGGUCUGAAGCUCAUGGCCCUGCAACGCCAUUUACAUGGACUACUCGAAAGCUGAAUUCUUCGCUGAGGAAAGACCAUGUGUGUCUGGCCGUGUAGUGUGUUCUGGUAACUCAGCAAGUAGAAAUAUGUUGAAAAUGAGGAAAUCAAGAUUUCAUCAGCUGAUGGUGGUGGUGGUGAUUCUGCUUAAUCCAAAGAACAAAGGAGGUGAAGUACUGGUCAACGACAUCGACAUGAAAACGACAUCGACAUGAAGGAAGUUUUUACAUCAGUAGACGCUAAACUGUGUCAUACUUUUCUGAAUACACUGAAGGAUACGAUACUUUGUUUGGGUACAUACCCCCAGGUCACGGAAUGAAAGGGGAAUGAAAGGAAAACAGGAAAAGAACUAAUAUGGCUUAAGUGCAGGCCAACAAGGAAGCGAGAGGAGUACCCUGAGUCAAAACGGCCAAGUCCUGCUCACACGUCUUCAGAAAACAAUUCUCAGACAUAAAAAAAUUUUGAGUACAAUUUGAAGAGUAAGAAACAGUGGCGUGCGUGUAUUGAGUAUUGACUGUUACUGAAUGUUACUGAAUUUGAUUACUGAAUUUGAUUAUGAUGGGCCAGGUAUUAUGUGGCCAUGCAAUAAUUUUGUGGGUGUAUCCACUGUGAUUUAUCCAACCAUUGCACUUUGAACUUGUCACCUGUUUAGACCUUCCUGUAUGAUAUGCACAGGGCUUUCAAAUA